AAUUAAAUUAUUUUGCACUGUUAUAUUGUUGUUAAAAUUAUUACUAAAUUAAAUUAUAAAGUUAAAAAUGAAUUCGUUUGAAGACGUUCAAACAAAAAACGUUUUACUUCAUCUCUACAUACAAAAGUUACCUUUUAAAGUAUAUCAAUAAUACCAGGAUAUGACCGUUUUUACAAACGACUCGUGAAUCCGUUCAACCGUAUUGAUCGUUUCUUUCUCUUCUGCAACUGCAUCCAGCAGAUGGCAGCAUCGCCAAGAGGUAGAUACCUGGAACGUUGCACUCUCUCACUCCACAUGGGGGGUUCGCUCUGCCCCCGCAGACACAAUGACGCAGCUAUCUCUGCCUUUGGCUUGGAAACUGUCUGUAUAUUUAGCACCUCGUUUAAACUCGGAGCUCAGUUCAUGGGAAUUAAAUUUAGCCAGCAGUUUAUAGUCAUCUGCCGAGUCAUACAAAUUGGAGUCAGCGCACACGUCUGUUAACGCAGAUGUCAAAACAUUACAAAAACCAAAUGACACACCGGUCAGACCGGGGUUUUCAUUGAUUGCACACUGAUUCACGCAUUAAAAACAAGUGUUUUACAAAAGUGACGUACGAUAUCCCAUGACUCCACAGAAAGGAAACGUAAUCAUGCUCAACCGUUUACAGGAAUCCACCUCUCCUGCAGGCUAAACAGAAGUCAGCUAACUGCACUAGGAGAUGUAAUGCAACAUGACAGUUAGCCUGGUCUGCCCAACUGUCUCUGCACACGGUCCAAACUGCCCCGACAACUAGGACUGAAGCAUCACUCAAGAUUAGAGAGACAAGAACCAGGCCCACACCGGUGAAAAGCUGGAACAGCCAGGUCAGAAUAUUACGGUAAUUAUUAAAUUAUUAAAAUCAUUUAACUUUGAGCUAUGUACUGUACUCCAUUUUCCACGUUAUUUUACUUAAUUACUUGUUUUUAGCCCAUAUGAGCCAGCUUAAAAAAACCCACAACAUUAAUUUAACCAUUGGAAGUGUCUUUGAAAAAAUAGAUUUAAUCAAAAUUGUAAAAAUGAAUGUAUCAUUUUCUGACUCCCUCUAAUUAUUAAUUCUCACAUUCCUCCUCUCUGCAUGUCGUUGUUAUCUUGGUUCGUCUCUGUGACUUUCUCCCCGUGCAACCUGUGGAGUCUGGUGCAAAGGAGUGUGAUGUAUGACAGAGCAGGCAGUGAACCAGGUCCAGGAAGCAGCAGCUUUCCUGGAAUGAACUCGACGUGGAGUGAUGACGAGACUGAGGGCAGCAGUUACAGUUCACUGACUGGAAGGAAAACACAAGCACGGGCUGCCAGACUGCUAACGUGGACAACCCCAAAAGAUAAGUGUAGCUGCUAAGUGACCACUUAGCAUUAAAUUCUCUCUCAGUUCUCUUUGACUGUUUUCCCGAUUCCAUGAAGCCCUUCUAGGUCUUCUCAUGUAAAAGAAGUGGGGGGAGCAUUUAAAGGAAAAGGCACACAAACUGGGUGUUAAGAACAGGGUUGUUUCACAGGUGUUUAAAGAAUCCAGCUGUGUUCAAUCGCUUUCUUGUUGAGCCCCAAAAAAUAUUUUUAGACAACAUAGAAACAAUGUAAAUUAACAUGAAAUUCAAAUAACCACACCAAGCGAUUCACACUGCAGGUUUUGAGACCAGCAUAUAACCUACUGAGUCUGGACAUCGAACCCACAACACUCUUGGUGUAAGACAACUGCUCCACUACCCCCCUGAUUACCAUCUGUAGCACACUAUGUGCCCUUUAUGUAAUGAUAAUUAUUAUCUUAUCUCUUUUUUCAAAAACUUUUGAUUUUGGAAUAACCCUACAAUGCACCUGCUUAAGCUACGCAAAAACCCAAUAUCUAGACUACAUUAGAACAAAGACAGUUCUACACUUGGACUGCAAGAUAAUGUGGGUCACUCAAUGUAUAACAGAGCUGACAGGGCAAAUUACCAUCAGCGUAAUCUUUGAACCACUGUCAGCAGGCCACAGUUGACUGAAAGAGGUUGUUAAUGUAGGAAAUAGCUUACGGUUAAUGGACAAAACAUUGGCUCCUUUGAUUAUUCAAUCACUAAUCGUGUAUUGUUUAGGUGUUUAUAUACAGAGCAGGUCAUUUUUAACAAAAUAUUUGUUAACCUGGCCUAGUUACUAACCCAGAGUUCUGGGAAUGCAGAUAACCUUUGACCUCCAGCUGUAGUUUAAAUGUAUCAUAAAACAGCUUAGAAGCUGUUUCUUGUGAAACUGUCACAGUAAAAACCAAGGAACAGGUUCCGGCCUGAGAUGCAGAAUUUUCAGAAAGGAGAGUGAAGUACUUGUCAUUGUGACGCAGCACACCACUGCACACAACCAAAUGUGACCUCUGGUUUUAACCCAUCACCAAAGUGAACAGUGGGCAGCUUCAGCACAUGGGGAGCAGUGUGUGGGGACAGUGCCAUGCUCAGAGCACCUCAGUGGUAACUUGCAAGCUGGUGGACUCAAACCUGAAACCCUGCGGCCCCAAGUCAGCUUCCUGAACCACCCGGCCACCACUGCCCCUUGUGUCUACACCACAGAAAGCAGAAAUAAAAAGUGUUAUCACAACGUUUUAUAGUGUCAGAAAGUUUGCAGAGAUCCAAAUGGGACACAUAAAACAAUGAAAGAUUUCAAGACAGUGGCAGAAGAGUGAGUAUGUGCUGGAAGAACUUCAGUCUGAAAUUGAAAUGUCACAAUGUAUAGUCAUUGGAGUCCGGCGCCAAUGAACUGUGACAGAGCAGAAGGAGAAAAAUGAACUUUUGCUUUUGUAGAGAGACCUCCAGGCCUGACUGAAAUAUGAUAAGGACGAUCUGGAGGAGGAAGUUAAAACUGCACUGGAGGUUGACUAAAGAAAAUUUGAUAUAUCUGGAAAUGUGCCCAAUUAGUAUUGAGAUCUGGGGUAAUAUAUUAGUAAGUGGAAUCAUUCUGUAUGAAUAACAAAUAUGUGUUGCGUGAAUGUAGUCACUAAACAUUAGUAAAUGUUUUGCUGUUAAUGAGGAAUACAUUUAAGCUAAUUUCUAAUUUCUAUUCAUUUUACUCUUUUUUACAGACUGUAAGAACAUCGAAACUACAAGCAAAAGGUUCUUUCCUGUCAACAAAAGUGCAACAACCUUUGGUUUGGAAGCAUCGGAUCGGCUAACACCUAUGGUGAGUAUUGCUUAUAAAAGUGAUAUUUCACUCUCGAAAUACUCCAGUUCUGAGAUACUUAAACACUGCACUGGUUGUGAAUGACUUUUAUAAGUCAGCUGUUUGGAUAAGAUAGAAAUGAAACGUCUAUUUAAGAGUUCGGUACCUUUCCUAAUUUUUUUAUUUUGGCGACUUCCAGUUCCAUGUAUAUAUUCACUUUAAAAAUAACAAUUAUGUUAAGACUUUAACUGUGUCUUUUACACAACACCCUUAAAAAUUAGUUAAUUUUGCAUCGGCUGUGUCAAACACAGAGGACAAAGACUGUUGUUGUGCGUUCUUGUGAUGAAGAUUUCCACAUUUUUAAUCAAUUUUUGUCACUUGAAGUUUCUGGAGAGUUGUUCUUCUGCCCGAGGUGUUGAUCAGUUUAGGGGAGAAAACAAAAGAAAAGUGUGUGUGAAGAGAAUUUUUGACAAAAGCGUCAUGUCAAAAGCUGUUGGUUGUUUAUUAAGAUAACAUUGGUUAAUUCGCAUUUCCCGGUAAUCAGGACUUGCUUGUAAAUAGGAUUUCCCGAGUGGGGAGAGAUGGGUGUAGUCCUUGAAUGGACUCUGCUUGCACUUUACCAACAACCAGGCAGAACAACCUGGGCCACAUACUUUCAUGAUCUGAACAAGAGGCAGGGAGUCAACACUUGGCCUGGUUUGAGGAGUGCAUAUUUCAGCUUCCUUUGUAGGGCUGCGAGCGGAGCACGCGCAAACACACACAUGCACUCUCUCACACACACACAAACACACACAUAUACUGGCCCUUUAAAUCUCUGCAAAGUGUCAUCUCACACGCACCCAACUUUGCUGAGUCACUGGGUUCAGGCUGCUUUUGUAACCUCCACCCAGCAGGACUUCUCAUUGGCUUCGGUCUCUACAGAGCAAUCCACUGGUUGGCUGCCAGCACUACUAAUCAGUUUCCUUUUGCCUUCUUAAAGUGACAGAGGUGUUUCCCCUGAUUCCCCAGAGGCAGAGGUCUAAAUCUGGGUGGACCAGGUCCCUGAGGUAUUUUAGAGAGAGAGAGAGACAGAGAGAGAGAGAGAGUUUAAGGAAAUAAUCACUGAAGAGUCAAAAACAGCUCCAAAAAAUGUUCUUAAAACAGCACUUUUUCCACUACAUUUUACCAGACACGGAUUUUAUUCAUUUAAUUUAGAACUGGAAUUGAAUGGGUCACUAAUGGGUCAGAAUCAAAUACCCAGUGUAUUUGCUCUAAUCUUUGCCUGUUCCUUUAAGGUCAUAGUUGUAUUUACUAAAUCAGCAUGUCAAAACAAUGGAAAAUGUAGUUCACCAGCUUUAUAGCAACAACAUUGCGAGUCUGAUCCCCGCUAGUUGUGUGUAGAGUUUUAACGAUCUCCCCCAGAGUGUACGUAGGUUUCCUCUGGGUAUUUUGUUUUCAUCCCACAAUGAACAAGCGUACAGAUUACGGAUUAGCAUGAUCAG